rnacentral:rRNA from 1 species
GUGCAGCAGUCGCGAAACCUCCGCAAUACGCGAAAGCGUGACGGGGUCAUCCCGAGUGCCGUCCGCUGAGGAUGGCUUUUCCCCAGUGUAGACAGCUGGGGGAAUAAGGAGAGGGCAAGUCGGGUGUCAGCCGCCGCGGUAAUACCCGCUCUCCGAGUGGUGGGGACGCUUAUUGGGCCUAAAGCAUCCGUAGCUAGCUGGGCAAGUCCCCUGUUAAAUCCAGCGAUUUAAUCGUUGGACUGCGGGGGAUACUGUCCGGCUAGGGGGCGGCGGGAGAGGCCGACGGUAUUUCCGGGGUAGGGGUGAAAUCCUAUAAUCCCGGGAGGACCACCAGUGGCGAAGGCUGUCGGCUAGAACGCGCCCGACGGUGAGGGACGAAAGCCAGGGGCGCAAACGGGAGUAGAUACCCCGGUAGUCC